GUCCUCGUAGCGAAGUGGCCAGCGUUUGUGUGUCUAUAUUCAAGCGGUUUGAUUUUCUACAGCGUAUUUGAUUUGAGGCAGCGAAAGAUGUCGGUUCGAAUCCGACCGGGGACA